rnacentral:rRNA from 1 species
AUUGAACGCUGGCGGCAUGCCUUACACAUGCAAGUCGAACGGUAACAGGUUAAGCUGACGAGUGGCGAACGGGUGAGUAAUGUAUCGGAACGUGCCCAGUCGUGGGGGAUAACUACUCGAAAGAGUGGCUAAUACCGCAUACGACCUGAGGGUGAAAGCGGGGGACCGUAAGGCCUCGCGCGAUUGGAGCGGCCGAUAUCAGAUUAGCUAGUUGGUGGGGUAAAAGCCCACCAAGGCGACGAUCUGUAGCUGGUCUGAGAGGACGACCAGCCACACUGGGACUGAGACACGGCCCAGACUCCUACUGGAGGCAGCAGUGGGGAAUUUUGGACAAUGGACGCAAGUCUGAUUCAGCCAUGCCGCGUGCGGGAAGAAGGCCUUCGGGUUGUAAACCGCUUUUGUCAGGGAAGAAACGAGUUUCUCUAAUACAGAGACUUAAUGACGGUACCUGAAGAAUAAGCACCGGCUAACUACGUGCCAGCAGCCGCAGUAACAC